rnacentral:rRNA from 1 species
GGAGGAAAAGAAACCAACAGGGAUUGCCUUAGUAACGGCGAGUGAAGCGGCAAAAGCUCAAAUUUGAAAUCUGGCACCUUCGGUGUCCGAGUUGUAAUUUGAAGAAGGUAACUUUGGAGUUGGCUCUUGUCUAUGUUCCUUGGAACAGGACGUCACAGAGGGUGAGAAUCCCGUGCGAUGAGAUGCCCAAUUCUAUGUAAAGUGCUUUCGAAGAGUCGAGUUGUUUGGGAAUGCAGCUCUAAGUGGGUGGUAAAUUCCAUCUAAAGCUAAAUAUUGGCGAGAGACCGAUAGCGAACAAGUACAGUGAUGGAAAGAUGAAAAGAACUUUGAAAAGAGAGUGAAAAAGUACGUGAAAUUGUUGAAAGGGAAGGGCUUGAGAUCAGACUUGGUAUUUUGCGAUCCUUUCCUUCUUGGUUGGGUUCCUCGCAGCUUACUGGGCCAGCAUCGGUUUGGAUGGUAGGAUAAUGACUAAGGAAUGUGGCUCUACUUCGGUGGAGUGUUAUAGCCUUGGUUGAUACUGCCUGUCUAGACCGAGGACUGCGUCUUUUGACUAGGAUGUUGGCAUAAUGAUCUUAAGCCACCCGUC